AAGCGGAGGAAAAGAAACCAACAGGGAUUGCCCUAGUAACGGCGAGUGAAGCGGCAACAGCUCAAAUUUGAAAUCUGGCCUCGGCCCGAGUUGUAAUUUGCAGAGGAUGUUUCUGGCGCGGUGCCUUCCGAGUUCCCUGGAACGGGACGCCACAGAGGGUGAGAGCCCCGUAUGGUUGGACACUAAGCCUGUGUGAAACUCCUUCGACGAGUCGAGUAGUUUGGGAAUGCUGCUCAAAAUGGGAGGUAAAUCUCUUCUAAAGCUAAAUACCGGCCAGAGACCGAUAGCGCACAAGUAGAGUGAUCGAAAGAUGAAAAGCACCUUGAAAAGGGGGUUAAACAGUACGUGAAAUUGUUGAAAGAGAAGCGCUUGUGACCAGACUUGCGCCGGGCGGCUCAUCCGGGGUUCUCCCCGGUGCACUCCGCCCGGCUCAGGCCAGCAUCGGUUCUCGUUGGGGGAUAAGAACGGCAGGAACGUGGCCCUCCUUCGGGUGGGUGUUAUAGCCUGCCGUACGAUACCCUGACGGGGACCGAGGUUCGCGCUCCGCAAGGAUGCUGGCGUAAUGGUCAUCAGCGACCCGUCUUGAAACACGGACCAAGGAGUCGUCCAUUAGAGCGAGCGUUUGGGUGUCAAACCCGCACGCGUAAUGAAAGUGAAAUUAGGUGAGAGCUUCGGCGCAUCAUCGACCGAUCCUGAUGUUCUCGGAUGGAUUUGAGUAAGAGUUUUAACGGACGGACCCGAAAGACAGUGAACUAUGCUUGUAUAGGGUGAAGCCAGAGGAAACUCUGGUGGAGGCUCGCAGCGGUUCUGACGUGCAAAUCGAUCGUCAAAUAUGAGCAUGGGGGCGAAAGACUAAUCGAA
rnacentral:rRNA from 1 species